AUUGAACGCUGGCGGCAGGCCUAACACAUGCAAGUCGCACGAGUGGCGGACGGGUGAGUAAUGUCUGGGAAACUGCCCGAUGGAGGGGGAUAACUACUGGAAACGGUAGCUAAUACCGCAUACCAUCGGAUGUGCCCAGAUGGGAUUAGCGAGUAGGUGGGGUAAAGGCUAACCUAGGCGACGAUCCCUAGCUGGUCUGAUAGGAUGACCGACCGCACUGGAACUGGAGCACGGUCCGGACUCCAAGGGGGGGCAGCAGUGGGAAAUAUUGCACAAUGGGCGCAGGCCUGAUGCAGCCAUGCCGCGGAUAUGAAGAAGUCCUUCGGGGUGUAAAGUACUUUCAGCGGGGGGGCGUUACCCGCAGAAAAAGCACCGGCUAACUCCGUGCCAGGAGCCGCGGUAAUUC
rnacentral:rRNA from 1 species